AAUCAACGCUGGCGGCGUGCCUAACACAUGCAAGUCGCACGAGAAAGUGGAGCAAUCCAUGAGUACAGUGGCGCACGGGUGAGUAACACGUGACUGACCUACCCUCGAGUGGGGAAUAACCUAGGGAAACCUGGGCUAAUACCGCAUAACACUUACGAGUCAAAGCAGCAAUGCGCUUGGGGAGGGGGUCGCGGCCGAUUAGCUAGUUGGCGGGGUAAUGGCCCACCAAGGCAAUGAUCGGUAUCCGGCCUGAGAGGGCGCACGGACACACUGGAACUGAAACACGGUCCAGACUCCUACGGGAGGCAGCAGUGGGGAAUUUUGCGCAAUGGGGGAAACCCUGACGCAGCAACGCCGCGUGGAGGAUGAAGUCCCUUGGGACGUAAACUCCUUUCGAUCGGGACGAUAAUGACGGUACCGAUAGAAGAAGCCCCGGCUAACUUCGUGCCAGCAGCCGCGGUAAUACGAGGGGGGCGAGCGUUGUUCGGAAUUAUUGGGCGUAAAGGGCGCGUAGGCGGUCUGGUAAGUCUUGUGUGAAAUCUUAGGCUCAACCUGAAGUCUGCACGGGAAACUGCCGGGCUUGA
rnacentral:rRNA from 1 species